rnacentral:rRNA from 1 species
UACAGAGGUGCCAAGCGUUAGGCGGAAUCACUGGGCUUAAAGCGUGUGUAGGCGGGCCGUUAAGUCCCUUGUGAAAUCCCCCGGCUCAACCGGGGAACGGCUGGGUAUACUGGCGAUCUUGAGCCACCUAGGGGCAGUCGGAACAAGUGGUGGAGCGGUGAAAUGCGUAGAUAUCACUUGGAACGCCAAUGGUGAAAGCAGACUGCUGGGGGUGUGCUGACGCUGAGACACGAAAGCCAGGGGAGCAAACGGG